rnacentral:rRNA from 1 species
UACGGAGGGGGCGAGCGUUGUUCGGAAUCACUGGGUGUAAAGGGUGCGUAGGCGGUGCGUUAAGUCUGAUGUGAAAGCCCUGGGCUCAACUCAGGAAUUGCAUUGGAAACUGGCGUGCUGGAGUACGGGAGAGGGAAGCGGAAUUCCUGGUGUAGCGGUGAAAUGCGUAGAUACCAGGAGGAACACCGGUGGCGAAGGCGGUUUCCUGGACCAGUACUGACGCUGAGGCACGAAAGCGUGGGGAGCGAACGGG